rnacentral:rRNA from 1 species
CCCCAGACUCCUACGGGAGGCAGCAGUGGGGAAUAUUGCACAAUGGGGGAAACCCUGAUGCAGCGACGCCGCGUGAGUGAAGAAGUAUUUCGGUAUGUAAAGCUCUAUCAGCAGGAAAGAUAAUGACGGUACCUGACUAAGAAGCCCCGGCUAACUACGUGCCAGCAGCCGCGGUAAUACGUAGGGGGCAAGCGUUAUCCGGAUUUACUGGGUGUAAAGGGAGCGUAGACGGCAGCGCAAGUCUGGAGUGAAAUGCCGGGGCCCAACCCCGGAACUGCUUUGGAAACUGUGCGGCUCGAGUGCGGGAGAGGUAGGCGGAAUUCCCAGUGUAGCGGUGAAAUGCGUAGAUAUUAGGAGGAACACCAGUGGCGAAGGCGGCUUACUGGACCGUAACUGACGUUGAGGCUCGAAAGCGUGGGGAGCAAACAGGAUUAGAUACCCUUGUA